rnacentral:rRNA from 1 species
AGUGAACGCUGGCGGUAGGCCUAACACAUGCAAGUCGAACGGCAGCACAGUAAGAGCUUGCUCUUACGGGUGGCGAGUGGCGGACGGGUGAGGAAUACAUCGGAAUCUACUUUUUCGUGGGGGAUAACGUAGGGAAACUUACGCUAAUACCGCAUACGACCUACGGGUGAAAGCAGGGGAUCUUCGGACCUUGCGCGAUUGAAUGAGCCGAUGUCGGAUUAGCUAGUUGGCGGGGUAAAGGCCCACCAAGGCGACGAUCCGUAGCUGGUCUGAGAGGAUGAUCAGCCACACUGGAACGUAGACACGGUCCAGACUCCUACGGGAGGCAGCAGUGGGGAAUAUUGGACAAUGGGCGGGAGCCUGAUCCAGCCAGACCGCGUGGGUGAAGAAGGCCUUCGGGUUGUAAAGCCCUUUUGUUGGGAAAGAAAAGCAGCAGGUUAAUACCCCGCUGUUCUGACGGUACCCAAAGAAUAAGCACCGGCUAACUUCGUG